CAGUCGCCGCGGGAAAACGAAGGGUGCAAGCGUUACUCGGAAUUACUGGGUGUAAAGCGUGCGUAGGUGGUGGUUUAAGUCCGUUGUGAAAGCCCUGGGCUCAACCUGGGAAUUGCAGUGGAUACUGGGUCACUAGAGUGUGGUAGAGGAUAGUGGAAUUUCCGGUGUAGCAGUGAAAUGCGUAGAGAUCGGAAGGAACAUCUGUGGCGAAGGCGACUAUCUGGGCCAACACUGACACUGAGGCACGAAAGCGUGGGGAGCAAACAGGAUUAGAUACCCCAGUAGUCCCUGUCUCUUAUAC
rnacentral:rRNA from 1 species